rnacentral:rRNA from 1 species
AUUGAACGCUGGCGGCAGGCCUAACACAUGCAAGUCGAGCGCGGGGCGGGCGUGUGAGAAAUGUCUGGGACACUGCCAGGGGGAGGGGGAUCACCUCUGGACACGGUCUCUAAUACCGCAUACUAUCAGAUGCGCCGAGAUGGGAUUAGCUAGUAGGUGGGGUAAUGGCUCACCUAGGCGACGCUCCCUAGCUGGUCUGAGAGGAUGACCAGCCACACUGGAACUGAGACACGGUCCAGACUCCUACGGGAGGCAGCAGUGGGGAAUAUUGCACAAUGGGCGCAAGCCUGAUGCAGCCAUGCCGCGUGUAUGAAGAAGGCCUUCGGGUUGUAAAGUACUUUCAGCGGGGAGGCGUUACCCGCAGAAGAAGCACCGGCUAACUCCGUGCCAGCAGCCGCGGUAAUUC